AACGGUCUAUACCUGCGGUACCUGCGGAGGGAUCAUUACAGGACUCGCAAGACUCCUACAACCCUGUGAACUUAACUAUAAGCACGUUGCUUCGGCGGGUGUCUCGGCGAGGGUUCUCCCUCCCCGGGGCGCUAAGCCCGCCGGCAGCCUACUAUACUCUGUCUCUUUGCGUUGGCAUCUCGAGUACAAACAAACAAGUUAAAACUUUUAGCAACGGAUCUCUAGAUCGGAAGAGCACAC
rnacentral:misc_RNA from 1 species